AGUGAACGCUGGCGGUAGGCCUAACACAUGCAAGUCGAACGGCAGCACAGUAAGAGCUUGCUCUUACGGGUGGCGAGUGGCGGACGGGUGAGGAAUACAUCGGAAUCUACUUUUUCGUGGGGGAUAACGUAGGGAAACUUACGCUAAUACCGCAUACGACCUACGGGUGAAAGCAGGGGAUCUUCGGACCUUGCGCGAUUGAAUGAGCCGAUGUCGGAUUAGCUAGUUGGCGGGGUAAAGGCCCACCAAGGCGACGAUCCGUAGCUGGUCUGAGAGGAUGAUCGGCCACACUGGAACUGAGCCAGGGUCCAGACUCCUAGGGGGGGCGGCGGUGGGGAAUAUUGGACAAGGGGCGCAGGCCUGAUCCAGCCAUACCGCGUGGGUGAAGAAGGCCUUGGGUUUGUAAACCCUUUUUGUUGGGAAAAAAAAGCAGCGGGUUAAUCCCCGGUUGUUCUGACGGUACCCAAAAAAAAAGCCCCGGCUAACUCCGUG
rnacentral:rRNA from 1 species